rnacentral:rRNA from 1 species
AUGAUUUCACCAGUAAAGCAUGUGCAAGUGACUGUAGCUAAUGGGGGAAAGCUUGCCAGUGAUUUUGCAUGUUUUAAAAUAGAGUACUCCAUACAAGGACACAAUUUUUCUUCAGAUUUCAGAAUCCUCAAGCUAUGUGGUUAUGAUAUGAUCUUAGGGGCUGAUUGGAUGUACACACACAGUCCAGUCACCUUUGAUCUUCCUAACAUGGAACUCACAAUUAAGUUGAUCUCUGGAGAAAGAAUCACAUUCCAUGAUGAAACAUUACCCACCAGUCCUUGUACUCCCAUCCUUCAAGAUAUGGAACACAUCCUAGAGGAUAUGCUGUCUGGAGCAUUAAUGUGGAUGCAACCAGUACAACUGUUUGAGAGCAAAGAACAACUGCAUGAACCAGAGGUGGAAAACUGCUAG